UUAUAGUUGGUGGAUUUAAACUUAAGUGCUGAAAUUGCGAGGGUGUUGAUGCAAUUUUGAUGUUUUUGUGUUUUGAUCUUUGGAGGAUGUUGGGUUGUGGACCAGAGGGUGAUACUCCAUCAUAGUUCACUGGUUUUGGACCUUUUCUUACCUGAUUUGGAGAUCAGAAGUUGAAGUCGACAUUGAGAUUGAUGUGAAUUUGAGCUUUUGUGCUGAAUUUUGGGUUAUUGAUGGAUUUUGAUGUUUAAAUCCUUAGAGAGGCUUGUUGCUGGUUGUGGCU
rnacentral:lncRNA from 1 species